rnacentral:rRNA from 1 species
UACAGAGGGGGCAGGCGUUGUUCGGAAUUACUGGGCGUAAAGGGCGCGUAGGCGGCCUUCUAAGUCGAACGUGAAAUCCCCGGGCUUAACCCGGGAACUGCGUCCGAGACUGGAGGGCUCGAAUCCGGGAGAGGGAUGUGGAAUUCCAGGUGUAGCGGUGAAAUGCGUAGAUAUCUGGAGGAACAUCGGUGGCGAAGGCGGCAUCCUGGACCGGUAUUGACGCUGAGGCGCGAAAGCCAGGGGAGCAAACGGG